rnacentral:rRNA from 1 species
AUAUUGGGCGUAAGCGCGCGCAGGCGGUUCCUUAGUCUGAUGUGAAAGCCCCCGGCUCAACCGGGGAGGGUCAUUGGAACUGGGGAACUUGAGUGCAGAAGAGGAGAGCGGAAUUCCACGUGUAGCGGUGAAUGCGUAGAGAUGUGGAGGACACCAGUGGCGAAGGCGGCUCUCUGGUCUGUAACUGACGCUGAGGGCGCGAAAGCGUGGGGGAGCGAAACAGGAUUAGAUACCCUGGGUAGUCCCACGCCCGUAAAACGAUGGAUGUGCUUAGGUGUGUUAGAAGGGUGUUUCCGCCCUUUAUAGUGCGUGCACAGCAAACAGCAUUUAAACCACUCCCCCCCCUGGGGAGAUACGGCCCCAAAGGGCUUACCCCCAAGGAUAUUUCCGGCCCCCCCACAACGGGGGAAGAUGGGGGUUUUAUUCUACACACCGCAAAAACUCUCGGGUGUGUGACACUCUCUAUACACCAAGAGAGGUGUCUCUCUCUGGGAGAAAAAGAAGGGAGUGGUCUCACCCCGGGGGGGAGAGGGGGUUUACCCCAGGGGCUCCCCUCUAUUCUGGUGCGCCUAUAUAUAGUACUUAAGGGCAGCGUCGUGCGACGGCAAGAAGAGUGAUGAUACCAUCACAUUUUUUUUCGUCUCUUUUUUUAUUCCGGACGCGUGUUUGU